rnacentral:rRNA from 1 species
CCUACGGGAGACAGCAGUGAGGAAUAUUGGUCAAUGGACGGAAGUCUGAACCAGCCAUGCCGCGUGCAGGAAGACGGCUCUAUGAGUUGUAAACUGCUUUUAUACAAGGGUAAACCUGAAUACGUGUAUUCCGCUGAAAGUACUGUACGAAUAAGGAUCGGCUAACUCCGUUCCAGCAGCCGCGGUAAUACGGGGGAUGCAAGCGUUAUCCGGAUUUAUUGGGUUUAAAGGGUGCGUAGGCUGUGAGGUAAGUCAGCGGUGAAAUGCCCCCGCUCAACGGGGUGAAGUGCCAUUGAUACUGCCUGGCUGGAAUGCGGAGGACGUGGGAGGAAUGUGUGGUGUAGCGGUGAAAUGCAUAGAUAUCACACAGAACACCGAUUGCGAAGGCAUCUUACGAAUCCGCGACUGACGCUGAUGCACGAAAGCGUGGGUAUCAAACAGGAUUAGAUACCCCAGUAGUC